CCUACGGGGGGCAGCAGUGGGGAAUAUUGGACAAUGGGCGAAAGCCUGAUCCAGCAAUACCGCGUGUGUGAAGAAGGCCUUAGGGUUGUAAAGCACUUUCAAUUGGGAGGAAAACCUGCCGGUCAAUACCCGGUAGCUUGACAUUACCUUUAGAAGAAGCACCGGCUAACUCCGUGCCAGCAGCCGCGGUAAUACGGAGGGUGCGAGCGUUAAUCGGAAUUACUGGGCGUAAAGCGUGCGUAGGCGGUUCGUUAAGUCAGAUGUGAAAGCCCUGGGCUCAACCUGGGAACUGCAUUUGAAACUGGCGGACUAGAGUUUAGUAGAGGGGAGUGGAAUUUCAGGUGUAGCGGUGAAAUGCGUAGAUAUCUGAAGGAACACCAGUGGCGAAGGCGACUCCCUGGACUAGAACUGACGCUGAGGUACGAAAGCGUGGGUAGCAAACAGGAUUAGAUACCCCAGUAGU
rnacentral:rRNA from 1 species